GCCAAGUAGGUGUUGUAUGGUUCCCAAACUGCGGUGCAAAGCACUUGGGAUCAAAAGGGAAUGUGGAACGGGUGACCCAAGCAGGGACCUGCAACCACAGCCGCCCCCGCGACUGUCAGCGGUGAGCGUUCGUCAUAAAAACCACUGGGGAAACCCGGGAAGGGGACGAACGCGAUGACCCGCCAGCCAGGAGACCUGCCAUGCAUGACAUAAACCA
rnacentral:ncRNA from 2 species